rnacentral:rRNA from 1 species
AGCAAGAACGACUCUCGGCAACGGAUAUCUUGGCUCCCGCAUCGAUGAAGAACGCAGCGAAAUGCGAUAGUUGGUGUGAAUUGCAGAAUCCCGUGAAUCAUCGAGUUUUUGAACGCAAGUUGCGCCCGAGGCCAUUCGGCCAAGGGCACGUCUGCCUGGGCGUC